GGAAGAAGAGGAGAUGGCUGAAAAAAGAAGACAUGGCCUCAGAAGAGAUGCUCCCUGAGAAGCUGGGCCACUUUCUCAUGUGACUGCAGAGUAAUCCAUCCCUGCGUGGAGCUGACAAGGCACCAAGCUGCUGGGCAUGAGACCCUUCACAUAUCCUCUCUGAUCUUCUCGAUUAGCUCUGAAGUCUCUCUGGUUUGAAACCUCAUGUCACUUUUUUGGUAUGUCUCUGUGGCAUUGGACAUCUUCUGCCUCAUAUUAGAUGCAUUGUGUAGUGUUUACUUAUCCCUAAUUUGCAGCCACUUAUCUGAGCAUAGACACUAGACCACUCCAUCUUUGCCUCUAUAAAUAUCAGGUGUAGGACCUCGUACUUGACAGGUGCUCAUAAGAUAUCUUUCUCUCC
rnacentral:lncRNA from 1 species